rnacentral:lncRNA from 1 species
CCUCCUCCCCGCUGCUGUUUACCCCUCGGGACACACAGGCCUGCGACCUGCGCUUGGAGCUUCCCGCCAGGUCCUGGACCCGGGGUUCGUGUCGCAGCUCCCUACUCUGGGGACCGGGGGGAGGGCGUCACACUGGGGGGCCCACGGGGCGGUGACUCGGGCUCUCUUCCCCUCCUGCUUCCCUCUCCCUAUCCAUCCUCACCUCCUCCUCCACUCUUCCCCCCUCUUCCUGCUCCUCUCUACUCCCUGUCUCCUCCUUCCCUCUACUCCCUCACCCUCUACUUCCCGUCCACUUCCCCUCCUUCCACUUCUUCUCAUCUUUUAUCACCUCCUCCUCCUCCAUCUCUCCUCCUCUUUCCUGUCUUCUACCCCCCUGCCCCUCUUCUCCACCGUCCUCCUUUUUCUUCUUCAUCCUCCUUCGUGUGUGACAAGUCUCACCACUGGGUGUGGACCAGCCCUGGACUCACAGCGGUCCCCCUGCCUCGGCCUCCCGAGCCGCUGCACCAGCCCUCUUCCCUCACUCCCUUCCUCCCCGCUCCUGCUGUUCCCCUGUCUUCCCGCCCUCCUGCUCCUCUCGCUUUCCUCCCUCAGGAACCCACCUUCGCCUUCUUCCCCCUCCCCUCGCCGCCGGCCUCUUCCCUCCGCUCGCUCUCCUCCCGUUCCUCCCUCCCUUCCUCUCCCAGCCUCGACCCUCCCUUUUCCUCCCUCCCCCCUCCCGUCAUCCCCCGCUUCCUACUCCUCCUCCUGCUGCUUCUCUUCCCUCUUCUUCCCCCCUCCCUUUUCCUGCUCCUAUUCCUCCUCCCUCCCCUCCCUCCCUCUCCCGCCUCCUGCUCUUUCCUCCCCUUUCACCCUCCACCUCCCUGUCGCUCUCCGCUCCUGGUCCGCCCUGCCCCGCUGCGCUCUGUCCUCCCGCUCUGUCUCUCUGCGUCGCCCCUCCCCCUCCGUCAGGCCCGUGCCCCCCACCUGCCCCCAGCCUUGCUCCCCCUCUCAGGCCCUCUCCCUGCCACCGCCCCCCCCCCCUCCUCCUCUGCCACUCUCUCUCCUCCCUUGGUCUCCUUUCUCGCCUUCUGCCUGCUCCUCCCUCUGGUCCCGUCACCCUGCCCCUGGCUGUCCUCCCCGCAGCUCUCUUCCUUGCCCACUUGCUCAACUGUCCUUUCUCCCCGUUUCUGUCUUCUGCUCUUUCUGUCCCACUCCCUGCUGUGAUUCCUGCGCUCUCCCCUCACCUCACCGCCAUCCCUCCCCCUGCUCGGGACCCUGUUUCCCCAGUCUCCGGGAGGCCUCUGUGACACUGUUCUCUCUUUUCUGUCUGUCGGGGAUGCUGGACACCGCCUGGAGGAAUCGGUCACCUGAGGCCCAAGAAACCACAAGAGGAGCCUCAGAGGUUGGAAGGGACCCGCCCAGGUCACACAGCAAAGCAGAGCGUCAGCUCAGAGAGGAUGGGGCGCACAGUGUUUCCAGAGACCCGCGACCCGGGACAGAGGCCUGGCUGGACAGCCCGAGAGCCAGGAACCAGACUGGGGUGUCCUCUGUCCCCACCUGCUGGAGGGACACCUGGAUCCAGGAUGACCUCAGAGGAGGUGGAGCUUCCUUGGUGCUGAGAGCACAGAAAGGUGUCUGAGGGGUGUGGCAGGAAGCACGGAGCUCUUCACAUCCUGGGCCCCUGCCUGAAGCCUCAAGGCUGGGAGAGCCCAGGAGAUCUCAAGAGGGCGGAGCUGCACAGGACAGUGGGAGCCCUGGGAGAAGAGGGCAGGCGCCUGGGCCUGAAGCCAGCCUGGUGGCACCUAAUGGGUUCACUCAUUAGGGGCCUCAAGAGCAGGACUCAGGGGCUGGGAUUUUGUGUUGGGGACCAUGGGGGGGGCUGCAGUGAGUUUGGCUCUGGUGUUGAACAUCUGGAAGGACCACUCAGUGGGAACCCCAAGACGGGGAUGUCGGGGGGCGGUGGGCUGAGGGUGCAGGAGGGAGGAGACAGAGAAGGGAUGAGGCCAGGGGCCCUGGAGGGGCAGGCAGAGGUGGCAGCACGCCAGGCAACGAUCCCGCCGUAACUGUCGACCUUACUCACUGUCCCUGAGGCACGGGCACUGCUGGACCAGUGGGGCUGUGGGGCUGAAGCUCAGAGGGUCUGAGCUGGAACCCAGGCUUGGGAAUCUUGGGUAAGCAAGGCUGCUUGAAUCUGGGUGUGGUGGGCAGUGGCUGAGAUAUGGAGCAGCCACAAGGCAGUCUGUGUGUCUGUCACACACACACUAGCUUCCAAGUUCCACCUAGCCCUGUUAUGGCUUGUAUCCAGAUGUCCCCCCCCAAAGCCUCAUGGGCUCAGGUGGCGCUUUCCAGAGCUGGCUGGAUCUAGGAUGUGUGCCACUGGAAUUAAGGGUGUGUGGUAGUCAGUAAGUCCACUGAUUGGCUUAGCAUAGUUCUGGGUGUGGAUGGCACCACCCAAAAGGCAGGUAGCACAAACGGGAUAAAAGGGAAAAGGAAGGUUUGCUUGCUCCUCACUGCCUGCCUACCGUGCCAUGGACUGUUUCUCCUCUGUGAUGCCCCUGUGCCCUACCACCCUGCCCCAAAGCCAGCUGUUGACUGAAAUGUCUGUGAACUGUGAGCUAAAAUAAACUUUCCUCCUUCACCUUUGGGUGUUGGGUAUUUUUGUCCCAGAUACAAGAAAAGUAACUAAGACAGGCCCAUUUGUGUGGACAAAAUCACGCAGGGACAUGGGGACUGGUGCAGUGCUGCUCUGGACACCAGAGACCACCAACGGGGCCAAGGACAUAAGCACUGAGCCACCAAAGUCACAGAAGGGCCGGAAACCUCAGUAACCCUGCUGAGGAAAGUGGGGAGGAAAACACACUUCUGCAGAAUGACUCACCUGAGCAUGUAUGUGUCCAGAACAAUGAUCAGGCGACAGAAAAUGCAGGCAGCCUCCAGGAGGAAACUGGACAGGGGCCUGGGGAUAGCAGACAGCUUCUAGCUGUGGCUCCUACUCUAUCUAUGUCCCCCAACCUGGCCAGAGAAAUCACACCAUGAAUGAGCUCUCCCGGGAUAGUUAAGACCAGGAGGGACGUUAAAUAAGGACAGAGCCGAUGCUGGCUAGGACACACUGCAGGGCAAGUGCUGGCUAGGAAGCACCGGAGCCAGGGCUCAGUCCACCAGACCAAAACAAGACAGCCCCACACACCAGCAAGCCAGGCAGAGGGCUGAGAAGCCUCAGCAGUUCUUGUGGGAUAACCCAGGCCAAGGGAGAGGUGUGGGAAGAAAGCAGGGUCAUAAAUCUGGACCCACCCCAGGCAACUUAGCUACGCAGUGAGACCCUACUCAAAAUAAAUGAGAAUAUAGGGGCCCUCGCUGCUGUCAAGUAACAUGGCUACUAGAGUUGCCGUCUUCCUCAAAAUGCUUGGGCCCAGGAGCCGGUGCUGGUCAUGUCCUUCGCUACUGGCAGCCUCGCUAUAAUUCUGCCCCGACUCAGCCCCUACACCAAAUACUCCAUCAUGGUCAACAAGGCCACGCCCUACAACUACCCAGUGCCCAUCUGAGAUGAUGGGAACAUGCCCAAUG